AAGGGUAUAGCUCAGUGGUAGAGUGCAUGCUUAGAAUGCACAAGGUCCUGGGUUCAAUCCCCAGUACCUCUA
rnacentral:tRNA from 1 species